rnacentral:rRNA from 1 species
GAUGAACGCUGGCGGCGUGCCUAAUACAUGCAAGUCGAGCGAACAGACGAGGAGCUUGCUCCUCUGACGUUAGCGGCGGACGGGUGAGUAACACGUGGAUAACCUACCUAUAAUACUGGGAUAACUUCGGGAAACCGGAGCUAAUACCGGAUAAUAUAUUGAACCGCAUGGUUCAAUAGUGAAAGACGCUUUUGCUGUCACUUAUAGAUGGAUCCGCGCCGCAUUAGCUAGUUGGUAAGGUAACGGCUUACCAAGGCAACGAUGCGUAGCCGACCUGAGAGGGUGAUCGGCCACACUGGAACUGAGACACGGUCCAGACUCCUACGGGAGGCAGCAGUAGGGAAUCUUGCGCAAUGGGCGAAAGCCUGACGGAGCAACGCCGCGUGAGUGAUGAAGGUCUUCGGAUCGUAAAACUCUGUUAUUAGGGAAGAACAAAUGUGUAAGUAACUAUGCACGUCUUGACGGUACCUAAUCAGAAAGCCACGGCUAACUACGUG